AUUGUCUGAAACCUAAAUGUUUGGAACUGGUCUGAAACCUAAAUGUUUGAAACGGGUCAGACGGUUUGGAACUAUUGAGUAUAUAUAUUGUCUGAAACCUAAAUGUUUGAAACGGGCCAGACGGUUUGGAACUACUGUCUGAAACCUAAAUGUUUGGAACUAGUUUGAAACCUAAAUGUUUAAAACGAGCCUUAACCUUAAGGUAUCAAACCGGCUGAAACCUAAAUGUAUAAAAAUGGGGCUGAACCAAAAUUUAUCAAACGGGCUGAAACCUGAAUGUAUAAAACGGGGCUGAACCGAAAUGUAUCAAACGGACUGAAACCUGAAUAAAACGAAUGUAUGGAAACUAUUCAAACUGUUGUAAACUUUCGACGUAUGAAACUUUAUUAAAAUAUAUUUAUAUAACUGUUGGAACCACAGAGCAGCACUAAGG
rnacentral:lncRNA from 1 species